CCUCCUUUUCUUUGUCAUGCAUGCAUAUUAAUUGAGUAUGGAGAAUAUCUAUGCUUGUUCAGGCUAGCCAACGUAGGACAGUUUAUUUCAAGAGAGGAGUCAUGGGUUGAAUGCUGAAAACACGCACAGCCAAGCCCAGAUGCCAAUCUUGCUAGCAGCCUUCCUUUACCUUCAAGACGGGGCCAAGGCUCA
rnacentral:lncRNA from 1 species